AGCUCAGGUUUCUCUUCAUUCACACAUAUAUCUUUUGCCUUUUACUAAAGAUUUUCAUGGAAAUGAAUACUGAUGAGUUCACCUUAUUUUUGUGGGCUUUGCUGUUUUAAAGCU